rnacentral:rRNA from 1 species
GACGAACGCUGGCGGCGUGCCUAAUACAUGCAAGUUGAGCGCUGAAGGUUGGUGCUUGUACCAACUGGAAGAGCAGCGAACGGGUGAGUAACGCGUGGGGAAUCUGCCUUUGAGCGGGGGACAACAUUUGGAAACGAAUGCUAAUACCGCAUAACAACUUUAAACAUAAGUUUUAAGUUUGAAAGAUGCAAUUGCAUCACUCAAAGAUGAUCCCGCGUUGUAUUAGCUAGUUGGUGAGGUAAAGGCUCACCAAGGCGAUGAUACAUAGCCGACCUGAGAGGGUGAUCGGCCACAUUGGGACUGAGACACGGCCCAAACUCCUACGGGAGGCAGCAGUAGGGAAUCUUCGGCAAUGGACGAAAGUCUGACCGAGCAACGCCGCGUGAGUGAAGAAGGUUUUCGGAUCGUAAAACUCUGUUGGUAGAGAAGAACGUUGGUGAGAGUGGAAAGCUCAUCAAGUGACGGUAACUACCCAGAAAGGGACGGCUAACUACGUG